AGGGAAUCUUCCACAAUGGACGAAAGUCUGAUGGAGCAACGCCGCGUGAGUGAUGAAGGGUUUCGGCUCGUAAAACUCUGUUGUUGGGAGAAGAACAGGUGUGAGAGUAACUGUUCACAUCUUGACGGUAUCCAACCAGAAAGCCACGGCUAACUACGGUGCCAGCAGCCGCGGUAAUACGUAGGUGGCAAGCGUUGUCCGGAUUUAUUGGGCGUAAAGCGAGCGCAGGCGGUUUUCUUAGGUCUGAUGUGAAAGCCUUCGGCUUAACCGGAGAAG
rnacentral:rRNA from 1 species